UACGGGGGGAGCAAGCGUUGUUCGGAUUUACUGGGCGUAAAGGGCGCGUAGGCGGCCAGCACAAGUCAGUUGUGAAAUCUCCGAGCUUAACUCGGAAAGGUCAACUGAUACUGUGCGGCUAGAGUGCGGAAGGGGCAACUGGAAUUCUUGGUGUAGCGGUGAAAUGCGUAGAUAUCAGAAGGAACGCCGGUGGCGAAAGCGACUCUCUGGCCCGUAUCUGACGCUGAGGCGCGAAAGCUUGGGUAGCAAACGGG
rnacentral:rRNA from 1 species